rnacentral:rRNA from 1 species
AACUGGGGGAUAGCCCACCGAAAGGUGGAUUAAUACCUCGUAACCUGGUGAAGUGGCAUCACUUUACCAGUAUAGCUCCGGCGGUUCAGGAUAGGCGUGCGGCCCAUUAGGUAGUUGGUAGGGGGUAACGGCCCACCAAGCCUGCGAUGGGUAACUGGUGUGAGAGCACGACCAGUCACACGGGCACUGAGACACGGGCCCG